UCCAGACUCCUACGGGAGGCAGCAGUGAGGAAUAUUGGUCAAUGGGCUUACGCCUGAACCAGCCAAGUCGCGUGAGGGAAGACUGCCCUAUGGGUUGUAAACCUCUUUUGUCAGGGAGCAAUUGGCGCUACGUGUAGCGUUAUCGAGAGUACCUGAAGAAAAAGCAUCGGCUAACUCCGUGCCAGCAGCCGCGGUAAUACGGAGGAUGCGAGCGUUAUCCGGAUUUAUUGGGUUUAAAGGGUGCGCAGGCGGAAUGUCAAGUCAGCGGUAAAAUUUCGGGGCUCAACCCCGUCGUGCCGUUGAAACUGGCGUUCUUGAGUGAGCGAGAAGUAUGCGGAAUGCGUGGUGUAGCGGUGAAAUGCAUAGAUAUCACGCAGAACUCCGAUUGCGAAGGCAGCGUACCGGCGCCCAACUGACGCUGAAGCACGAAGGCGUGGGUAUCGAACAGGAUUAGAUACCCCAGUA
rnacentral:rRNA from 1 species